rnacentral:lncRNA from 1 species
GGAAGAAGUGAAGAGAAAUAUAGAACUCUUGGGUCAUAUAACCUAAUGAUAUAUUUACACAUUCUUUCUAAAUUGAAGCUACAGUGUAAUGUUUAUCAAAAUUCUAACAGCAUAGAAAAGGGUCAAAGCAGUGAAAAGUGAAACUAUGUGUGAUGGUUAAUAUUGAGUGUCAGCUUGAUUGGAUUAAAGGAUGCAAAGUAUUAUUCCUGGGUAUGUCUGUGAGGGUGUUGCCAAAGAGAAACAUUUGCGUCAUUGGACUGGGAGAGGCAAACCCACCCUCAAGCUGGGUGGGCACAAUCUAAUCAGCUGCCAGUGUGACCAGAAUAAAAGCAGGCAGAAGAACGUGAAAAGACUAGCCUGGUUUAGUCUCCGGCCUACAUCUUUCUACUUUGCUUAAUGCUUCCUGCCCUUGAACAUCAGACUCCAAGUUUUUCAGCUUUGGGAUUCUUGAGCCUUCAACCACAGACUGAAGGCUGCACUGUCGGCUUCCCUGCUUUGAGGUUUUGGGACUCAGACUGGCUUCCUUGCUCCUCAGCUUGCAGACAGCCUAUUGUGGGACCUCACCAUGUGAUUGUCUUCAGGAGGUUGCUUGAAAGAGGAAGGAGUUGGGAUGGAGAGCAGAACCUUGCAUGGGCCUCACUCAGACCUAAUGAAAUAUAAUGAGAUAACUUUUUACCAGGGUCACCUGGAGACAGGCAAGUUUUCUCUUCCAUCAUAGCUGUGGUAUUCAUAAUGACAUGAGACUAGAGCUGGCUGGAGUAUAAUGAAAUCAACAGAGGGAAAGAAGUUAAUCAUUUGACCUCCUAGGCCAGGCUCUGCUUUAAAAAAUCAAAUACUAUUCCUGGGAAUUUUUAGAUUUUUUAUUCAAUAAUGUUUUUAAAUCAACUGAUUGGGUAUUCUGUUACAGUCAAAAACAGUUCUAUUCAUCCAACUAUUUAAAAGUGAAGGCCGGGCGCGGUGGCUCAAGCCUGUAAUCCCAGCACUUUGGGAGGCCGAGACGGGCGGAUCACGAGGUCAGGAGAUCGAGACCAUCCUGGCGAACACGGUGAAACCCCGUCUCUACUAAAAAAUAUAAAAAAAAAAAACUAGCCGGGCGAGGUGGCGGGCGACUGUAGCCCCAGCUACUCGGGAGGCUGAGGCAGGAGAAUGGCGUGAACCCGGGAGGCGGAGCUUGCAGUGAGCCGAGAUCGCGCCACUGCACUCCAGCCUGGGCGACAGAGCCGAGACUCCGUCUCAAAAAAAAAAAAAAAAAAAAAAGUGAAUAGUAGUCCUCCUUUUUCCCUGGUUUUACUUUCCACAGUUCUGGUCAACAGUGGUCUGAAAAUAGUUUCAGUGGUCUGAAAAAGAGUACAUUACAAUUAGAUAUUGAGAGAGAGGGAGACAACAUUCACAUAAGUUUCAUUAUAGUAUAUGGUUAUAAUUGUUCUAUUUUAUUAUUAGCAAUUGAAAAUCUCAUAUUAUGCCUAAUUUAUAAAUUAAACUUUAUCAAAAAAUUUGAUGUAUAGG